GACGAACGCUGGCGGCGUGCUUAACACAUGCAAGUCGAACGGUAAGGCCCUGCUUUUGUGGGGUGCUCGAGUGGCGAAAGGGUGAGUAACACGUGAGUAACCUGCCCUUGACUUUGGGAUAACUUCAGGAAACUGGGGCUAAUAUCGGAUAGGAGCUCCUGCUGCAUGGGGGGGGUUGGAAAGUUUCGGCGGUUGGGGAUGGACUCGCGGCUUAUCGGCUUGUUGGUGGGGUAGUGGCUUACCAAGGCUUUGACGGGUAGCCGGCCUGAGAGGGUGACCGGCCACAUUGGGACUGAGGUACGGCCCGGACUCCUACGGGAGGCAGCAGUGGGGGAUAUUGCACAAUGGGCGGAAGCCUGAUGCAGCAACGCCGCGUGCUGGAUGACGGCCUUCGGGUUGUAAACCGCUUUCGCCUGUGACGAAGCGUGAGUGACGGUAAUGGGUAAAGAAGCACCGGCUAACUACGUG
rnacentral:rRNA from 1 species